GACGAACGCUGGCGGCGUGCUUAACACAUGCAAGUCGAACGGAAAGGCCCUGCUUUUGUGGGGUGCCCGAGUGGCGAACGGGUGCGUAACACGAGAGUAACCUGCUCUUCACUUUGGGAUAACUUCAGGAAACUGGGGCUAAUACCGUACAGGAUCUCCCGCUGCAUGGAGGGGGUGGGAAAUUUUCGGCGGGUGGGGUUGGACUCGCGGCUUAUCAGCUUGUUGGUGGGGUAGUGGCUUACCCAGGCUUUGACGGGUAGCCGGCCUGAGAGGGUGACCGGCGGCAUUGGGACUGAGGUACGGCCCAGGCUCCUACGGGAGGCAGCAGUGGGGAAUAUUGCACAAUGGGCGGAAGCCUGAUGCAGCAACGCCGCGUGCGGGAUGACGGCUUUCGGGUUAUAGACCGCUUUCACCUGUAACGAAGCGUGAGUGACGGUAAUGGGUAGAGAAGCACCGGCUAACUACGUG
rnacentral:rRNA from 1 species